rnacentral:tRNA from 1 species
GGGAAAGUGGCUCAGCGGUAGAGCACUUGCUUUGCAUGCAUGAGGCCCUGGGUUCGAUUCCUCAGCACCA